GUUAGUGGUGUGAUUAUAGUGAGUGUGUGUUAGUGUGUGAUUAUAGUGAGUGUGUGUUAUUGUGUGAUUAUAGUGAGUGUGUGUUAGUGUGUGAUUAUAGUGAGUGUGUGUUAGUGUGUGAUUAUAGUGAGUGUGUGUUAGUGUGUGAUUAUAGUGAGUGUGUUAGUGUGUGAUUAUAGUGAGUGUUUGUUAGUGUGUGAUUAUAGUGAGUGUGUGUUAGUGUGUGAUUAUAGUGAGUGUGUUAGUGUGUGAUUAUAGUGAGUGUGUUAGUGUGUGAUUAUAGUGAGUGUGUUAGUGUGUGAUUAUAGUGAGUGUGUUAGUGUGUGAUUAUAGUGAGUGUGUGUUAGUGUGUGAUUAUAGUGAGUGUGUUAGUGUGUGAUUAUAGUGAGUGUGUGUUAGUGUGUGAUUGUAGUGAGUGUGUGUUAGUGUGUGAUUAUAGUGAGUGUGUGUUAGUGUGUGAUUAUAGUGAGUGUGUGUUAGUGUGUGAUUAUAGUGAGUGUGUUAGUGUGUGAUUAUAGUGAGUGUGUGUUAGUGUGUGAUUAUAAUGAGUGUGUUAGUGUGUGAUUAUAGUGAGUGUGUGUUAGUGUGUGAUUAUAGUGAGUGUGUGUUAGUGUGUGAUUAUAGUGAGUGGUUAGUGUGUGAUUAUAGUGAGUGUGUGUUAGUGUGUGAUUAUAGUGAGUGUGUGUUAGUGUGUGAUUAUAGUGAGUGUGUUAGUGUGUGAUUUAUAGUGAGUGUGUUAAUGUGUGAUUAUAGUGAGUGUGUGUUAGUGUGUGAUUAUAGUGAGUGUGUUAGUGUGUGAUUAUAGUGAGUGUGUUAGUGUGUGAUUAUAGUGAGUGUGUGUUAGUGUGUGAUUAUAGUGAGUGUGUGUUAGUGUGUGAUUUAUAGUGAGUGUGUUAGUGUGUGAUUAUAGUGAGUGUGUUAGUGUGUGAUUAUAGUGAGUGUGUGUUAGUGUGUGAUUAUAGUGAGUGUGUGUUUAGUGUGUG
ensembl:lncRNA